rnacentral:rRNA from 1 species
AUACGUAGGGAGCGAGCGUUGUCCGGAUUUACUGGGUGUAAAGGGUGCGUAGGCGGCUCUGCAAGUCAGGUGUGAAAACCAUUGGCUUAACUGAUGGACUGCAUUUGAAACUGUGGGGCUUGAGUGGAGUAGAGGCAGACGGAAUUCCCGGUGUAGCGGUGAAGUGCGUAGAGAUCGGGAAGAACACCAGUGGCGAAGGCGGUCUGCUGGGCUCUAACUGACGCUGAGGCACGAAAGCAUGGGUAGCAAACAGGAUUAGAUACCCUGGUAGUCCAUGCCGUAAACGAUGAUUACUAGGUGUGGGGAGUCUGACCCUCUCCGUGCCGGAGUUAACACAAUAAGUAAUCCGCCUGGGGAGUACGGUCGCAAGAUUAAA